rnacentral:rRNA from 1 species
AUUGAACGCUGGCGGCAGGCCUAACACAUGCAAGUCGAACGAGUGGCGGACGGGUGAGUAAUGUCUGGGAAACUGCCUGAUGGAGGGGGAUAACUACUGGAAACGGUAGCUAAUCCCGCAUACCAUCGGAUGUGCCCAGAUGGGCUUAGCUAGUAUGUGGGGUAAAGGCGCACCUAGGCGACGAUCCCUAGCUGGUCUGAGAGGAUGACCAGACACACUGGAACUGAGACACGGCCCAGACUCCUACGGGAGGCAGCAUUGGGGAAUAUUGCACAAUGGGCGCAAGCCUGAUGCAGCCAUGCCGCGUGUAUGAAGAAGGCCUUCGGGGUGUAAAGUACUUUCAGAGGGGAGGCGCUACCCGCAGAAGAAGCACCGGCUAACUCCGUGCCAGCAGCCGCGGUAAUUC